GCUGGGCGUGGUGAUGCAUGCCUGUAAUCCCAACUACUUGGGAGGCUGAGGCAGGAGAAUUGCUUGAACCCAGGAGGUGGAGGCUGCAGUGAGCCGAGAUUGUGCCACUACACUCCAGCCUGGGUGACAGAGUGAGACUCUGUCUCAA
rnacentral:SRP_RNA from 1 species